GCCGAAAUUUCUCCUUUAACAUUCAUAGCAGAUGCCCGGUACUGAGCAAUGUCAUCAAAAUCGCAUGUGCUAAUCUCCAGAGAGUGCAACCCAUAUCGAUUUUCAAUGGUAUAUUUGCCAGGGUGAGCCUGUACAUCAAUAGGAACGUUGUUUUUGUACCAUGUAACACGGGGUGCCGGCCAGCCAGCCACUGUACAGUGAAAUUUGACAUUUUGCUUUUCCCAGAUAGUGUGAGAACGAGGUUUGAUAACAAACUCAGGAGGAUGUAGAAGUUUAUCUUGAUUCAACUUUUUGUGAAAUGCCUGAGUAUCUUCUAGCGUUUUCUUCAGGGCCACACGCUCUGCAGACUCCCGUAUCGCUACUUUCCUUGAUUUUUUCUCAUGAUGUUCCUCUUCGGAGACAGACUUGGCCACCUUGCUGACACUAACUCCUUCACCAGUUGCAAAGAGGUUCCUUUUGGCAACGUAAGCAGCACUCUCUUUAAUCCUUUCUUCUUCUGUGUCUGUGAUCCCACUGAUGUUUACUUCACGUCCUGUGAAUAUCGGUACUGAAUAGUCUACAGCUUCAUUCUCUUUGUCCUCAGAUACCAAAGUCUGUUUUGCUCUCUUUGCUUUGGGGCUCAUUUUAUAGGACUGAUCUUCAAUCAUUAAAUUGGAAUCUUUCAGUCCAAGACCAUAGGUCUCCGACCCCAGGCGGUAGGCUGCAGC
rnacentral:lncRNA from 1 species